rnacentral:misc_RNA from 1 species
AGAGAAGCUCAAAUUAAAUCACUAUGAGGGUUGUAGUUUAGUUACUAUGUAAUUGUUUGAGAAUUAGGUUAGAUGACACAACAGAGACAAGGGUGUAGGAGUCUGCAAAGCAAAAUGCAAAACUUUUGCUCACAGCAAAGAAUAAGAUCUACUGCAGGUCUUGAUUUCUAGUUUGACCUCAAAAAUGACAACCAAUAAUAUAUUAAAGGUGCUUAAUAAGUUAGGCUCUCAAAAUUGGAGGAAAAUGUAGUGAUAUGUUCAACAUUCUUAUUUGCAAAGCAAGUCCUUGUGGGAUUGUUUGUGGCGUCUAAACUAAUUAUAAACUCCUUUCAUCUUUUUGUUUUUUCUCUUGGGAAAAUAGGCAGGAUAAUUGAUGAAAUGCUGUCAUUUAAGGAAAAAAUUGCUGACAACUAGUAAUUACUAGUAAAACUGUAUGCUAAUAGAGACAGAUUCAGUCAGAAAUUAGAAUUAGGCCAAGAACUAAAAUGAAAAGCUCAGUGUUGAGUUCUCUUAAAUUAUCAUAUAUAUGCCUAUCUGAAUAACUUCACCAGAGCAAAGCAGCUCAGAAUUUUACAGAGUGAUACAAAAUAAAACUAGUCAUGUUGAAGAUCAUUUUACAAGGAGUAAAGUUCAACUCUAAACAAGACUGCAUUAAUCAAUGCUCGAACCUUCUAGCUUUCCUAUAUUGUAAUCCCUUUUAUGGCAGCCCUAAGAUUUCAUUUAUGAAGUCUAACAAGAUGAGGUCAAGUGUUGUCAGUCACUCAGUUGGAUGAGUUCAGGCAUGGCUUUUAAGGGGACUGACAUGAAUUUUCUGUUGAAAAGUGUGGAAGAAAGGGAUUUUAAGCAAGAAUUGUCCAAGGCUUCUUCGCAGAGCUUUUCUAUGGGCAAUGAAUUCU